rnacentral:tRNA from 1 species
GGUGGGAUGGCCGAGCGGACGAAGGCGAUGGUCUUGAAAACCAUUAGGCGUGCAAGCGUCUCGGGGGUUCGAAUCCCUCUCCCACCG